AGCGUAGGUGGCCUAACAUGUCAACUGUGAAAACCCGGAGCUCAACUCCGGACUUGCAGUUGAAACUGGUAGGCUUGAGGACGGUAGAGGAAGACGGGAACUGCCAGUGUAGGGGUAAAAUCCUUAGAUAUUGGCAGGAACGCCGGUGACGAAGGUGGUUUUCUGGGCCGGUUCUGACACUGAUGCUCGAAAGCCAGGGGAGCGAACG
rnacentral:rRNA from 1 species